CUACACAUGCAGUCGACGGUAACAGAGAGCAGCUUGCUGCUUCGCUGACGAGUGGCGGACGGGUGAGUAAUGUCUGGGAACUGCCUGAUGGAGGGGGAUAACUACUGGAAACGGUAGCUAAUACCGCAUAACGUCGCAAGACCAAAGAGGGGGACCUUCGGGCCUCUUGCCAUCGGAUGUGCCCAGAUGGGAUUAGCUUGUUGGUGGGGUAACGGCUCACCAAGGCGACGAUCCCUAGCUGGUCUGAGAGGAUGACCAGCCACACUGGAACUGAGACACGGUCCAGACUCCUACGGGAGGCAGCAGUGGGGAAUAUUGCACAAUGGGCGCAAGCCUGAUGCAGCCAUGCCGCGUGUAUGAGAAGGCCUUCGGUUGUAAGUACUUUCAGCGGAGGAGGGAGUAAGUUAUACUUUGCUCAUGACGUACCGCAGAGAGCACGCUACUCGUGCAGCAGCGCGUAUACGAGGUGCAGCGUAUCGAUACUGGCGUAAGCGCACGCGGGGUGUAGUCAGAUGUGAAUCCGCUCACUGACUGCAUCUGAAACUGCAGCUGAGUCUGGUAA
rnacentral:rRNA from 1 species